rnacentral:rRNA from 1 species
CAGUCGCCGCGGUAAUACGGAGGGGGCUAGCGUUGUUCGGAAUUACUGGGCGUAAAGCGCUCGUAGGCGGCUUGGUAAGUUAGAGGUGAAAGCCUGGAGCUCAACUCCAGAAUUGCCUUUAAGACUGCCGAGCUAGCAGGUGAGAGAGGUAAGUGGAAUUCCGAGUGUAGGGGUGAAAUUCGUAGAUAUUCGGAAGAACACCAGUGGCGAAGGCGGCUUACUGGCUCAUACUGGACGCUGAGGUGCGAAAGCGUGGGGAGCAAACAGGAUUAGAUACCCCGGUAGUCCCUGUCUCUUAUAC